rnacentral:rRNA from 1 species
GACGAACGCUGGCGGCGUGCUUAACACAUGCAAGUCGAACGGAAAGGCCCUGCUUUUGUGGGGUGCUCGAGUGGCGAACGGGUGAGUAACACGUGAGUAACCUGCCAUUGACUUUGGGAUAACUUCAGGAAACUGGGGCUAAUACCGGAUAGGAGCUCCUGCUGCAUGGUGGGGGUUGGAAAGUUUGGGCGGUUGGGGAUGGACUCGCGGCUUAUCAGCUGGUUGGUGGGGUAGUGGCUUACCAAGGCUUUGACGGGUAGCCGGCCUGAGAGGGUGACCGGCCACAUUGGGACUGAGAUACGGCCCAGACUCCUACGGGAGGCAGCAGUGGGGAAUAUUGCACAAUGGGCGGAAGCCUGAUGCAGCAACGCCGCGUGCGGGAUGACGGCCUUCGGGUUGUAAACCGCUUUCGCCUGUGACGAAGCGUGAGUGACGGUAAUGGGUAAAGAAGCACCGGCUAACUACGUGCCAGCCGCCGCAGUAAAAC